CCUACGGGAGGCAGCAGUGGGGAAUAUUGCACAAUGGGGGAAACCCUGAUGCAGCGACGCCGCGUGAAGGAAGAAGUAUUUCGGUAUGUAAACUUCUAUCAGCAGGGAAGAAAAUGACGGUACCUGACUAAGAAGCCCCGGCUAACUACGUGCCAGCAGCCGCGGUAAUACGUAGGGGGCAAGCGUUAUCCGGAUUUACUGGGUGUAAAGGGAGCGUAGGCGGUUUAGCAAGUCAGAAGUGAAAGCCCGGGGCUCAACUCCGGGACUGCUUUUGAAACUGCCGGGCUGGAGUGCAGGAGAGGUAAGCGGAAUUCCUAGUGUAGCGGUGAAAUGCGUAGAUAUUAGGAGGAACACCAGUGGCGAAGGCGGCUUACUGGACUGUAACUGACGUUGAGGCUCGAAAGUGUGGGGAGCAAACAGGAUUAGAUACCCCUGUAGUC
rnacentral:rRNA from 1 species